CCUACGGGGGGCUGCAGUGGGGGAUAUUGCACAAUGGGGGAAACCCUGAUGCAGCGACGCCGCGUGGGCGAAGAAGUAUUUCGGUUUGUAAAGCCCUAUCAGCAGGGAAGUAGAAAUGACGGUACCUGAGUAAGAAGCACCGGCUAAAUACGUGCCAGCAGCCGCGGUAAUACGUAGGGUGCAAGCGUUAUCCGGAUUUACUGGGUGUAAAGGGAGCGUAGACGGCAGUGCAAGUCUGGAGUGAAAGGCGGGGGCUCAACCCCCGGACUGCUCUGGAAACUGUACGGCUGGAGUGCAGGAGAGGUAAGUGGAAUUCCUAGUGUAGCGGUGAAAUGCGUAGAUAUUAGGAGGAACACCAGUGGCGAAGGCGGCUUACUGGACUGUAACUGACGUUGAGGCUCGAAAGCGUGGGGAGCAAACAGGAUUAGAUACCCCGGUAGUC
rnacentral:rRNA from 1 species